AACGUAGGAGACAAACGUUAUCCGGAGUUACUGGGCGUAAAGGGCGUGUAGGUGGUGCUGUAAGUUCGGCGUGAAAUUUUUCGGCUUAACCGGGAAAGGUCGUCGGAUACUGCAGGACUAGAGGACGGUAGAGGCGUGUGGAAUUCCGGGUGUAGUGGUGAAAUGCGUAGAGAUCCGGAGGAACACCAGGGGCGAAAGCGGCCGACUGGCUGAGUACUGACGCUGAGGCGCGACGGCGUGGGGAGCAAACCGG
rnacentral:rRNA from 1 species